rnacentral:rRNA from 1 species
AUACGUAGGAUGCAAGCGUUGUCCGGAAUUACUGGGCGUAAAGGGUCCGUAGGCGGUUUGUUAAGUCUUCUGUGAAAGUUCAGGGCUCAACCCUGAAAUGUCGGGGGAUACUGGCAAACUUGAGACUGUCAGAGGCAAGUGGAAUUCCCGGUGUAGUGGUGAAAUGCGUAGAUAUCGGGAGGAACACCAGUGGCGAAAGCGGCUUGCUGGGACAGUUCUGACGCUGAGGGACGAAAGCGUGGGUAGCAAACCGGAUUAGAUACCCGAGUAGUCC